CUGCUGCCUUCCGUAGGAGUCUGGGCCGUAUCUCAGUCCCAAUGUGGCCGUUCAACCUCUCAGUCCGGCUACUGAUCGUCGACUUGGUAGGCCGUUACCCCACCAACUAUCUAAUCAGACGCAAGCCCAUCUAUCAGCGGAUUGCUCCUUUCCCAUUUAUAUCAUGUGAUAUUCAUGGCAUAUGCGGUAUUAGCAGUCAUUUCUAACUGUUGUUCCCCUCUGAUAGGCAGGUUG
rnacentral:rRNA from 1 species